UGCACGCAUGACUGUCGCUUUGGAUAAAAGCGUCUGCUAAAUGGCACAUA
rfam:Salmo salar isolate Sally breed double haploid chromosome ssa03, whole genome shotgun sequence.